UACAAUUUAAUGUAAGAUGCAUAAAGAUUUUUGAAAUCUUUAGGCCUGAUUUAAUUUCAGGGAUUGUAA
rnacentral:tRNA from 1 species